rnacentral:rRNA from 1 species
UACGUAGGGGGGCAAGCGUUGUCCGGAAUCAUUGGGCGUAAAGAGCGCGUAGGCGGCCCUGUAAGUCCGCUGUGAAAGUCAAGGGCUCAACCCUUGGAUGCCGGUGGAUACUGCAGGGCUAGAGUCCGGAAGAGGCGAGUGGAAUUCCUGGUGUAGCGGUGAAAUGCGUAGAUAUCGGGAGGAACACCUGUGGCGAAAGCGGCUCACUGGACCGCAACUGACGCUGAGGCGCGAAAGCUAGGGGAGCAAACAGG